UACGUAGGGUGCAAGCAUUAAUCGGAUUUAUUGGGCGUAAAGGGCGCGUAGGCGGGGAUGUAAGUCAGAUGUGAAAUCCCGGGGCUCAACCUCGGAACAGCAUUUGAAACUACAUUUCUAGAGGGUAGACGGAGAAAACGGAAUUCCACAAGUAGCGGUGAAAUGCGUAGAUAUGUGGAAGAACACCAGUGGCGAAGGCGGUUUUCUAGUUUAUACCUGACGCUAAAGCGCGAAAGCAAGGGGAGCAAACAGG
rnacentral:rRNA from 1 species